rnacentral:tRNA from 2 species
GCGGUUGUAGUAUAGUGGUUAGUAUUCGAGGUUCCCAACCUUGCAACCUGGGUUCAACUCCCAGCAACCGCA